CGAAGACGAUCAGAUACCGUC
rnacentral:siRNA from 1 species